rnacentral:rRNA from 1 species
GACGAACGCUGGCGGCGUGCCUAAUACAUGCAAGUCGAACGCUGAAGAGAGGAGCUUGCUCUUCUUGGGUGAGUUGCGAACGGGUGAGUUACGCGUCCGUACCCUGCCUUGUAGCGGGGGAUUCCUAUUGGAAACGAUAGCUACUACCGCAUAACAAUGGCUGCCACAUGUCUUUUAUUUUCAAGGGGCAAUUGCUCCACUACAAGAUGGACCUGCGUUGUAUUAGCUAGUAGGUGAGGUAAUCGCUCACCUAGGCGACGAUACAUAGCCGACCUGGGAUGGUGAUCGGCCACACUGGGCAUGAGUAACGGCCCAGACUCCUACGGGAGGCAGUAGUAGGGAAUCUUCGGCAAUGGGGGCAACGCUGAACGAGCAACGCCGCGUGAGUGAAGAAGGUUGUCGGAUCGUAAAGUUCUGUUGUAAGUCAAGAAAGGGUGUGAGAGUGGAAAGUUCACACUGUGACGGUAGCUAAACAGAAAGGGACGGCUAACUACGUG